UGUUCCAUAAAAAUUUUAUUAAUUUUUGGCAUUAAAACAUAGGAUUUCUGAUUUAUCUUCUAAGGCAAUGCAUUUAAUAAAGAGCCUUCUUUAAGAAGGACUCUUUAUUUCUCUUGCUGAUUUGAGGUGGGCAAAAAUUAUAUUUUUGUGUGGCUUUUGGUGAACUUGGAGGAGUCCUUCUCUACUUAAAAUUGAUCUAAGUUGGAUAAGGAUCCAAUCCAAAUUAACCCAAUCCCAUUAGGUCAAAGCCAACUGGUC
rnacentral:lncRNA from 1 species